rnacentral:rRNA from 1 species
UAGAACGAACGCUGGCGGCGUGGAUAAGACAUGCAAGUCGAACGAGAGAAUUGCUAGCUUGCUAAUAAUUCUCUAGUGGCGCACGGGUGAGUAACACGUGAGUAACCUGCCCCCGAGAGCGGGAUAGCCCUGGGAAACUGGGAUUAAUACCGCAUAGUAUCGAAAGAUUAAAGCAGCAAUGCGCUUGGGGAUGGGCUCGCGGCCUAUUAGUUAGUUGGUGAGGUAACGGCUCACCAAGGCGAUGACGGGUAGCCGGUCUGAGAGGAUGUCCGGCCACACUGGAACUGAGACACGGUCCAGACACCUACGGGUGGCAGCAGUCGAGAAUCAUUCACAAUGGGGGAAACCCUGAUGGUGCGACGCCGCGUGGGGGAAUGAAGGUCUUCGGAUUGUAAACCCCUGUCAUGUGGGAGCAAAUUAAAAAGAUGGUACCACAAGAGGAAGAGACGGCUAACUCUGUGCCAGCAGCCGCGGUAAUACAGAGGUCUCAAGCGUUGUUCGGAAUCACUGGGCGUAAAGCGUGCGUAGGCUGUUUCGUAAGUCGUGUGUGAAAGGCGCGGGCUCAACCCGCGGACGGCACAUGAUACUGCGAGACUAGAGUAAUGGAGGGGGAACCGGAAUUCUCGGUGUAGCAGUGAAAUGCGUAGAUAUCGAGAGGAACACUCGUGGCGAAGGCGGGUUCCUGGACAUUAACUGACGCUGAGGCACGAAGGCCAGGGGAGCGAAAGGGAUUAGAUACCCCUGUAGUCCUGGCAGUAAACGGUGCACGCUUGGUGUGCGGGGAAUCGACCCCCUGCGUGCCGGAGCUAACGCGUUAAGCGUGCCGCCUGGGGAGUACGGUCGCAAGAUUAAAACUCAAAGAAAUUGACGGGGACCCGCACAAGCGGUGGAGUAUGUGGCUUAAUUCGAUGCAACGCGAAGAACCUUACCUGGGCUUGACAUGUAAUGAACAACAUGUGAAAGCAUGCGACUCUUCGGAGGCGUUACACAGGUGCUGCAUGGCCGUCGUCAGCUCGUGUCGUGAGAUGUUUGGUUAAGUCCAGCAACGAGCGCAACCCCUGUUGCCAGUUACCAGCACGUGAAGGUGGGGACUCUGGCGAGACUGCCCAGAUCAACUGGGAGGAAGGUGGGGACGACGUCAGGUCAGUAUGGCCCUUAUGCCCAGGGCUGCACACGUACUACAAUGCCCAGUACAGAGGGGGCCGAAGCCGCGAGGCGGAGGAAAUCCUGAAAACUGGGCCCAGUUCGGACUGUAGGCUGCAACCCGCCUACACGAAGCCGGAAUCGCUAGUAAUGGCGCAUCAGCUACGGCGCCGUGAAUACGUUCCCGGGUCUUGUACACACCGCCCGUCACAUCAUGGAAGCCGGUCGCACCCGAAGUAUCUGAAGCCAACCGCAAGGAGGCAGGGUCCUAAGGUGAGAC